GCCGGAGUAGCUCAGCUGGAAGAGCGCCCGGCUGUUAACCGGGCGGUCCGAGGUUCGAAUCCUCGCUCCGGCG
rnacentral:tRNA from 1 species